GAAUGCUGACAUAAGUAACGAUAAAGCGGGUGAAAAGCCCGCUCGCCGGAAGACCAAGGGUUCCUGUCCAACGUUAAUCGGGGCAGGGUGAGUCGACCCCUAAGGCGAGGCCGAAAGGCGUAGUCGAUGGGAAACGGGUUAAUAUUCCCGUACUUGGUGUUACUGCGAAGGGGGGACGGAGAAGGCUAUGUUGGCCGGGCGACGGUUGUCCCGGUUUAAGCGUGUAGGUGUGUGUUCCAGGUAAAUCCGGUUCACUUUAACACUGAGGCGUGAUGACGAGGCACUACGGUGCUGAAGCAACAAAUGCCCUGCUUCCAGGAAAAGCCUCUAAGCAUCAGGUAACAUCAAAUCGUACCCCAAACCGACACAGGUGGUCAGGUAGAGAAUACCAAGGCGCUUGAGAGAACUCGGGUGAAGGAACUAGGCAAAAUGGUGCCGUAACUUCGGGAGAAGGCACGCUGACACGUAGGUGAAGUGAUUUACUCAUGGAGCUGAAGUCAGUCGAAGAUACCAGCUGGCUGCAACUGUUUAUUAAAAACACAGCACUGUGCAAACACGAAAGUGGACGUAUACGGUGUGACGCCUGCCCGGUGCCGGAAGGUUAAUUGAUGGGGUCAGCGCAAGCGAAGCUCCUGAUCGAAGCCCCGGUAAACGGCGGCCGUAACUAUAACGGUCCUAAGGUAGCGAAAUUCCUUGUCGGGUAAGUUCCGACCUGCACGAAUGGCGUAAUGAUGGCCAGGCUGUCUCCACCCGAGACUCAGUGAAAUUGAACUCGCUGUGAAGAUGCAGUGUACCCGCGGCAAGACGGAAAGACCCCGUGAACCUUUACUAUAGCUUGACACUGAACAUUGAGCCUUGAUGUGUAGGAUAGGUGGGAGGCUUUGAAGUGUGGACGCCAGUCUGCAUGGAGCCGACCUUGAAAUACCACCCUUUAAUGUUUGAUGUUCUAACGUGGACCCGUAAUCCGGGUUGCGGACAGUGUCUGGUGGGUAGUUUGACUGGGGCGGUCUCCUCCUAAAGAGUAACGGAGGAGCACGAAGGUUGGCUAAUCCUGGUCGGACAUCAGGAGGUUAGUGCAAUGGCAUAAGCCAGCUUGACUGCGAGCGUGACGGCGCGAGCAGGUGCGAAAGCAGGUCAUAGUGAUCCGGUGGUUCUGAAUGGAAGGGCCAUCGCUCAACGGAUAAAAGGUACUCCGGGGAUAACAGGCUGAUACCGCCCAAGAGUUCAUAUCGACGGCGGUGUUUGGCACCUCGAUGUCGGCUCAUCACAUCCUGGGGCUGAAGUAGGUCCCAAGGGUAUGGCUGUUCGCCAUUUAAAGUGGUACGCGAGCUGGGUUUAGAACGUCGUGAGACAGUUCGGUCCCUAUCUGCCGUGGGCGCUGGAGAACUGAGGGGGGCUGCUCCUAGUACGAGAGGACCGGAGUGGACGCAUCACUGGUGUUCGGGUUGUCAUGCCAAUGGCACUGCCCGGUAGCUAAAUGCGGAAGAGAUAAGUGCUGAAAGCAUCUAAGCACGAAACUUGCCCCGAGAUGAGUUCUCCCUGAGACUUAGAGUCUCCUGAAGGAACGUUGAAGACGACGACGUUGAUAGGCCGGGUGUGUAAGCGCAGCGAUGCGUUGAGCUAACCGGUACUAAUGAACCGUGAGGCUUAACCUUACA
rnacentral:rRNA from 1 species